CACGCUUCUCUUUGCAGAGGUCUUUGAAACUAUCACCAGCAGGUCUAGGGCUCUCUCCCCUCCCAGCCUCUUUGUUGGCUCUAUGGCUUGGAAGUACAACGUUUGAGUGAUACGUCCUGUAUCCAAGCUGGUUUUUAGUGGCCAUCCCCACUCCCGUCUUCAAGGUAACUAACACUGACUCUUUCGGCAGGCAGGAUCCCAGCGCCCAUCUCCAGAGGAAUGUGUUCCCAAGACACUGAUCUGCUCCUAAAGCCUGAGCUGGAGCCUUGGCUACAGAUGCAGCUGGAGGAGGUACUGCUUGAGGAACACGCCCUGGAGCAGCAGACAGCUCUGGCCUCCAGUGCCCCGGAGGACAGUGCCUUUGACCAGCAUUGCUCACUGGAGGCUUCUUGAGAACUGGGAACCAAUACUGCUCUCUCCACCACCAAGAAGGAUUAUGGCUUUCUGACCAGGUUUUCUACUUGGAGCAUCUCACAGAUCCUCAUUUCCUACUUUCUCUGCCCAGGGUAGUGUUCCCUCAAUAGAAGAAGAGCAAGGCGGAUGAUGACAUUAUCUUCAAGCAGUAUGUCAUGGAUGCAGGCGUAUUCCACUUUGGAGAGCCUUCAUGUGGCCAUGCCUCUCGGUACUGUCAGGGAGAAAAUAUCACCUGUUCAGAGUUUGUGCAAAUUCUGGACACGUGCGGGUGAAGGAUUUCCCAAACAUGACUGUAAAGGCCCCGACAUGGACCCUACAAAUUUAUACCCGAAAGAGAGAGAAAUAUUGCUAGAAUUGAUGGAAUCAUGGAUUGGCUUGGGUUGGAAGAAACCUCAAAGCCCAUCCAGCUCCACCCCCUGCCAUGACCAGGGACACCUCCCACCGGAUCAGAGGGCUUCAGGCAUCCUGGCCUUGAACCCCUCCAGGGAUGGGGCAGCCGCCACUGCUCUGGGCAACCUGGGCCAGGGCCUCCCCACCCUCGCACGCAAACAUUUCUCCCUAAGCUCUCAUCUCAAUCUCCCCUCUUUCAGCCCUAAAUCACUCCCUCUCAUCCUAUCCCUGCCCUCCCUGAUCAAGAGCCCCUCACCAGCUUUCCUGGAGCCCCUUUCAGUACUGGAAGCUACUCAUAGGUCUCCCUGCUGCCUUAUCCUCUCCAGGCUCAAUAACCCCAACUCUCUCAGCCUGUCUUGGUACAGGAGGUGCUCCAGCCUUCGGAUCACCUCUGUGGCCUCCUCUGGACUCGUUCCAACAACGGAGCAACGGCCGUCGGGACUGGGACUCGGGCAAGGGGGGAUGGGGGGGUAACGGCAAUCGGGACCGGGAC